CUUCAUGACCUUGGGCGGGACUGGCGCGGACAUGGAGAACAGCGACAAGGCCAGGUUUGCAGAUGUGUUGCGAACUUGCGAUAGUCCUCGACCGGGUGCUCGCCGGCAAUGACCGUGGCCUAGCAGCAGGAUAGCAUAAGCUCUCCCUUGUUCUUUUGUGCUUGAAUCAGAUUUUGGUGGUUCUCAAUUUUACACAUUUAUUGAUCUUGGUCUUCUUUUGUAUGCAGGGUACACUUAUGUUUCAUGUCUAUUCUGCAGAUUUUUAGAACACUGAGUGCAUAUCUUGCCUUGCAAUGCUGCUGAUUCCACAACUGAGCUGGAUUCAAACUGGACUUGCGACAAGAGCAACCCCAAGCAAGAUAAACUCGAUUGGAAGAUGUCUUCUAAACUCUGAAGGCAAGCACUUGGCCGACACUUUUGUUCGUGUAGAAGGCAUGUCGUUUGAUUCAUGCCAAGAAGCGUACAAACAGUAUAAGCUAUUCGCUUGGGAGAAUGAUUUCAGAAUUCAUCAUGGAAAGCCGAGAUGAGGGCAUGCACGUUACCAAUUGAUGCACAAAAUUGUGUGCUGGUGCUAGGUUAAGAGGGACAAAGGUAAUUCUUCUUCGUGCAGAACAGAAUGAAGGCGAGGAUGCAUCUCCUCCAUGCAAAGCAGGGGAUAGGGUAGCGUACACGAACAACAAAAUUGUAGAAGGCGAGGAGGACAAUCUGAGUGACCAACAUUAUGUGGAGUAUUGAGAUGCAGGUUGAAUUCUUGUUGUCUAGAUCCACCUUCACCGAGAUCACGCGCUCCUCUGUGACCUCCCACCAGCAGCGCCUUGAGGCCACCCACACAAGCGACCAAGCAAUUCCAUGCUGUCACCCUGCUACUUCGCCAACGACAUCGAGGAGGUCGUGGGUGAGAGCUACUGUCUUCCUUGGAGAACAUGCUGGUGCCCCAUGCGUACGAAGAAGAGCUAAGACACUCGCAUGGUGCUCAAGGAAAUACACCAGAUUGAGCGAGAGUGUUACACAAUUUAUCAACAGGAGCAAAGACUCUAAUCUGAUGAUGUAGAACAGCUUUAAUGUGACAGAGGAUCAUGGUGGUCGAUGGAUUCUGCACCCGGUAGUAGACUAAGAAAGGAACAUUAUUGAUGGAACACAAUGAUAUUCAGAGCACCCCUGCACUAUGUGAGAUUUAGAAGUUGGUACUGUCGGCGGAUGCAUCCAUGUGCUAAUCUGCUGGCACCGAGUAGACGGAGCCAAACGAGUUGGGGCCUCUAGCCGGCUGGUAGUGGACAACAACACCGGGUUUGUUAAUUACUCAACAAGUCACAGAUCAAUCUUUUUUUAUUGGUUUGGAGUGGAUAAUCAGGCCUGCUGCACAAUCAUAGAUUUACCUUUUGAUUUAUGUGGGUGGACAAAAACACCCUUUCUGAAGUUUUCUAGGGAUUGUAAUGAAGCACAACUUGGUCAGUGGUACCAAUCCCUUCGAGCUCCCUCAACCCUUCGCCAACACUUCUUCAGUUUCUCACCACAAGCGUACUAUUGUUCAGGAUAGUGUGUGUGACAUAUGUGGGAACGGGGAGGAAGAUGAAUAUCAUGCUGUUAUAUCAUGCACAAAAAGUAAGGCAUUGAGAUUUGCCAUGAGGAAAGAGUGGAGUCUUCCAGAAGAAAAGGAGUUCUGGUACACUGGAACAGACUGGCUACAAAUCCUACUGGACAAGUAUGAUUCAGAGAUAAGAAAGAAAAUUCUGCUGUUGUUAUGGAGAGCCUGGUUUCUACGAUAUAACUGUAUCUACAGUGAUGGCAAAGAAACCAUUUCGAGAUCGGUGAUGUUCCUUCUGCAUUGUGAGGAGGAAUCAGGAAUCUGUCGAUAUCUGCUGUUGGACAGUGAAACAAGAGUUGUUGGUCCCUGUCUGCAUCUAGACACACCACGACUAGAAAUUAGCCGAACGCCGAGCCAAAUGCCUAGUGGAAAGAGCCGCCUGAAGGUGUUGUAAAACUGAACACUGACGCUGCCUUUUUGUCAGGCACAGGCCAAGGGCUGCCGAUUCUCUCUCUCUCUCUCCCUCUCCCUCUCUCCCUCUUGCUAAUAGAAUUAUGAACAACCGGUAAGACUAAUAUUAUAGACCUUCUCUCCUCAAUCCUACCAUGUAUUAUUUGACUUUUGCGCUAACACAGGAAAAAUGUGUUGUAAACUUGUGAGUUGUGCCUUACUUCCUCCGUUCUUAAAUACAAAUCUUUUUAAAGAUUCUAAUGCAGACUACAUACGAAACAAAAUGAGUGAAUCUACAUUUUCUAAAAUAUGUCUAUAUACAUAAGUAUGUAGUUCGUUUAGGGAGUCGAUUGAAUCCAUAGUCAAUUACGGUUUGGUUCGGUGUCGUGUGCGUCAGAGAGUUCGAAUGGAGGUAGGACGCGAUGGGAGGUGCGCUCCAGUGGUCUGUGACACAAAGGCUAGAGAUAGGCCGGCAGGUGGAGCGGGUGCGCUAAUGCGAGCGCCCGCUAGCUUGUUGGGUUGGGCCGAGGUUGGCUUUGCUGCGCUGCUGCUGCUACUGCACUGCAAGCGGAAAAAAAUACUAAACGGGUUGCACGAGCUGGGCUUAGAUUAGGUCUCCGCUUUUAUUAAUUAAUACAGGAAAUGGAUAAGGCUUAAAUAAAAUACAGUUUAAUUUUGAAACACACCGGAAAAGUUCUCAAAAGUAUAUAUACUAAUACAGAAGAUAGUAAACAUUUUGGAGCCCAAUUAUGAAAUAAAAUGCGCAUAAGAAUUUUCUAAAUUUACUUUAGCAUUAAUAAAUAUUCAUAAAAUAUUUUUAAACUUCAAAACGAAUAACCAAACAAUAUUUAAAACACUUACCGACUCUUGUAUAUUGAAGGAGUCUAUUACCUUCUCUCACUUAGUUUAUUUUUUAUUGGAUUUUUUUCAAAUUUGAAAAUCCAAAAUAUACAUUCUAAAAUACUUGUCAUCGGGCAGGAAGUCAAGCAUGGCGUCGAUCAUGGAGUUGGAGGAGGGGCGGGCGAAGAGGUGUGGCCGGUCGUGGUCGAUGUAGUUGAUGAAGAGGCCGUGCACCUUGUUCGUGGUGAGUAACCUCCGGCCUAUAUCGGGAGCCAGCCACCACGCUUUGCCGAGGACGCACGCAGGCAGGCUGCGGAGGACGUGCGCGGCUUUCGUUGUCAACAUGGCCACGAGUGAAUGCGUGGAGGCGAUCGAUGGCUGUGG